rnacentral:rRNA from 1 species
GCAAGGUUAACCGUAUAGGGGAGCCGAAGGGAAACCGAGUCUUAACCGGGCGUUAAGUUGCAGGGUAUAGACCCGAAACCCGGUGAUCUAGCCAUGGGCAGGUUGAAGGUUGGGUAACACUAACUGGAGGACCGAACCGACUAAUGUUGAAAAAUUAGCGGAUGACCUGUGGCUGGGGGUGAAAGGCCAAUCAAACCGGGAGAUAGCUGGUUCUCCCCGAAAGCUAUUUAGGUAGCGCCUCGUGAAUUCAUCUCCGGGGGUAGAGCACUGUUUCGGCUAGGGGGCCAUCCCGGCUUACCAACCCGAUGCAAACUGCGAAUACCGGAGAAUGUUAUCACGGGAGACACACGGCGGGUGCUAACGUCCGUCGUGAAGAGGGAAACAACCCAGACCGCCAGCUAAGGUCCCAAAGUCAUGGUUAAGUGGGAAACGAUGUGGGAAGGCCCAGACAGCCAGGAUGUUGGCUUAGAAGCAGCCAUCAUUUAAAGAAAGCGUAAUAGCUCACUGGUCGAGUCGGCCUGCGCGGAAGAUGUAACGGGGCUAAACCAUGCACCGAAGCUGCGGCAGCGACGCUGAUGCGUUGUUGGGUAGGGGAGCGUUCUGUAAGCCUGCGAAGGUGGCCUGUGAGGGUUGCUGGAGGUAUCAGAAGUGCGAAUGCUGACAUAAGUAACGAUAAAGCGGGUGAAAAGCCCGCUCGCCGGAAGACCAAGGGUUCCUGUCCAACGUUAAUCGGGGCAGGGUGAGUCGACCCCUAAGGCGAGGCCGAAAGGCGUAGUCGAUGGGAAACGGGUUAAUAUUCCCGUACUUGGUGUUACUGCGAAGGGGGGACGGAGAAGGCUAUGUUGGCCGGGCGACGGUUGUCCCGGUUUAAGCGUGUAGGUGUGUGUUCCAGGUAAAUCCGGUUCACUUUAACACUGAGGCGUGACGACGAGGCACUACGGUGCUGAAGCAACAAAUGCCCUGCUUCCAGGAAAAGCCUCUAAGCAUCAGGUAACAUCAAAUCGUACCCCAAACCGACACAGGUGGUCAGGUAGAGAAUACCAAGGCGCUUGAGAGAACUCGGGUGAAGGAACUAGGCAAAAUGGUGCCGUAACUUCGGGAGAAGGCACGCUGACACGUAGGUGAAGUGAUUUACUCAUGGAGCUGAAGUCAGUCGAAGAUACCAGCUGGCUGCAACUGUUUAUUAAAAACACAGCACUGUGCAAACACGAAAGUGGACGUAUACGGUGUGACGCCUGCCCGGUGCCGGAAGGUUAAUUGAUGGGGUCAGCGCAAGCGAAGCUCCUGAUCGAAGCCCCGGUAAACGGCGGCCGUAACUAUAACGGUCCUAAGGUAGCGAAAUUCCUUGUCGGGUAAGUUCCGACCUGCACGAAUGGCGUAAUGAUGGCCAGGCUGUCUCCACCCGAGACUCAGUGAAAUUGAACUCGCUGUGAAGAUGCAGUGUACCCGCGGCAAGACGGAAAGACCCCGUGAACCUUUACUAUAGCUUGACACUGAACAUUGAGCCUUGAUGUGUAG